rnacentral:rRNA from 1 species
UUCCAGACUCCUACGGGAGGCAGCAGUAGGGAAUCUUCGGCAAUGGACGGAAGUCUGACCGAGCAACGCCGCGUGAGUGAAGAAGGUUUUCGGAUCGUAAAGCUCUGUUGUAAGAGAAGAACGAGUGUGAGAGUGGAAAGUUCACACUGUGACGGUAUCUUACCAGAAAGGGACGGCUAACUACGUGCCAGCAGCCGCGGUAAUACGUAGGUCCCGAGCGUUGUCCGGAUUUAUUGGGCGUAAAGCGAGCGCAGGCGGUUAGAUAAGUCUGAAGUUAAAGGCUGUGGCUUAACCAUAGUACGCUUUGGAAACUGUUUAACUUGAGUGCAAGAGGGGAGAGUGGAAUUCCAUAUGUAGCGGUGAAAUGCGUAGAUAUAUGGAGGAACACCGGUGGCGAAAGCGGCUCUCUGGCUUGUAACUGACGCUGAGGCUCGAAAGCGUGGGGAGCAAACAGGAUUAGAUACCCUGGUAGUCCACGCCGUAAACGAUGAGUGCUAGGUGUUAGACCCUUUCCGGGGUUUAGUGCCGUAGCUAACGCAUUAAGCACUCCGCCUGGGGAGUACGACCGCAAGGUUGAAACUCAAAGGAAUUGACGGGGGCCCGCACAAG